rnacentral:rRNA from 1 species
GACGAACGCUGGCGGCGUGCUUAACACAUGCAAGUCGAACGGAAAGGCCCUGCUUUUGUGGGGUGCUCGAGUGGCGAACGGGUGAGUAACACGUGAGUAACCUGCCCUUGACUUUGGGAUAACUUCAGGAAACUGGGGCUAAUACCGGAUAGGAGCUCCUGCUGCAUGGUGGGGGUUGGAAAGUUUCGGCGGUUGGGGAUGGACGCGCGGCUUAUCAGCUUGUUGGUGGGGUAGUGGCUUACCAAGGCUUUGACGGGUAGCCGGCCUGAGAGGGUGACCGGCCACAUUGGGACUGCGGUACGGCCCAGACUCCUACGGGAGGCAGCAGUGGGGAAUAUUGCACAAUGGGCGGAAGCCUGAUGCAGCAACGCCGCGUGCGGGAUGACGGCCUUCGGGUUGUAAACCGCUUUCGCCUGUGACGAAGCGUGAGUGACGGUAAUGGGUAAAGAAGCACCGGCUAACUACGUG